rnacentral:lncRNA from 1 species
AAAAACCUGAAGCAAAACGAAAAUUAACUCACUCUGCUGCUGUAAAAGUAUCGAGUGUGGAAGCUACGCACACCUUACGCUGAUCGGUAAUCGUGAUCGCUAAACACGCUCAUCGAGAGCCAGUCUCUGCAAUAACUUGAUUCGUGCAUGUCCUGUUCGACCGCUCCGAUUUGCAAUGAACCCUCCCGAUCAUUUCGAAAUACUGACAGUGUGCGCGUAAUCGCAUCUGCAAGCAGGCCCGGGGGUGAUGUGAAGUCCUUGGCUCACGACUUCGAGGAUGUCAUAUUUAAGAAAGCGACGACUUGCAAGUUCUGCAACACCAGGAUCUGGCUCAACAAGGGAAUGCGUUGCAAGGUCUGCAGAAUGAUCAUCCACAGCAAGUGCCACGUCAAGGCCAUGCAGCUGACCUUAUGCAAGCAAAAAAUGUGGCCAGAGGAAGAGGCAGAGCCCGUCGGAGGUGAGCGGCUGUCAUUAAUGUUGAAAUCUUUUACGAAGGGAGAUUGCGCAUAUAUAACGUUUUUCCCCUGAUUCCAGGCGCUCCUGAAUCUAGCACAAAGGUGAGAAAACGUCAUUAUUUAGUUUGUUCUGGUUUAUGUUUUCUUUUUAUUUAUUUCUUCAGCUUGUAUAUGCCCAGUCACUGCUUUUCAUGAGCUUGUCCCAUAUCGCCCCUAACUGUCACCGACUUGUAUUUCAGCUUAUUAUCAUGGAAAUUACCAGAGGUGCGGUCUUUCACCAUAAUUCUGGGCCGAGUUUGUGCUGUAUUUAUAAUUUAGAGCCCUUUUGGAUGCGUGAAAGCUGCGUUUUGCGGGAAGGGUUUCUCUCAGUGCGCCCCCUUCCUCUCCCCUCCCCCUCCCCAGAAAGAAAUCAAACCUUAUUUUCUAUUUUAUGCGUCCUCAACUGUAGUUAUCGCGACAAUUUAUUCUUGCCUUUCAAAGCAAGAAGUGCUUUUGCGCUUUUUCCCUGUCUCCCGCUAAUUUCUUGCAAAAAUCUGUGACUGUUUCAAUUUGGUCACCAUCAACUUUCUGUACAAUAAAAACCUGUAAUAGAAUUUAUCACCAGAAAAUUGGGAAGGGCAGCACAACGAGCGAUGGAACGAAAAAUGAUAGAAGUAGCGAUGUACGUAUAAGGUACAGCAAAAGAGUUGUGCGGAUUAGAGCGCAGACUGUAGUAGCCGAUAUUGUAUAAUUGUAAUAAGAAGCGGAGUUGAGCGAGUCACGUAAUGCGUAGAACAUAACCAUUGGUCUAUUAGAGUUGCAGAAUGGGUACUAAGAGAAGGGAAACAUACAGUUGGCGACGGCAGAAGAUUUAGGUGCUGUGAUGAAACUAGGAAGGAAGGAAGGAAAAAGUGGAAAAGGAAAGACAGGGAGGUUAACCAGUUUAGCUCAACCGGUUUGCUACCCUACACAUCGGAGCG